rnacentral:rRNA from 1 species
AUGAACGCUGGCGGCGUGCCUAAUCCAUGCAAGUCGAGCGAACAGACGAGGAGCUUGCUCCUCUGACGUUAGCGGCGGACGGGUGAGUAACACGUGGAUAACCUACCUAUAAGACUGGGAUAACUUCGGGAAACCGGAGCUAAUACCGGAUAAUAUAUUGAACCGCAUGGUUCAAUAGUGAAAGACGGUUUUGCUGUCACUUAUAGAUGGAUCCGCGCCGCAUUAGCUAGUUGGUAAGGUAACGGCUUACCAAGGCAACGAUGCGUAGCCGACCUGAGAGGGUGAUCGGCCACACUGGAACUGAGACACGGUCCAGACUCCUACGGGGGGCAGCAGUAGGGAAUCUUCCGCAAUGGGCGAAAGCCUGACGGAGCAACGCCGCGUGAGUGAUGAAGGUCUUCGGAUCGUAAAACUCUGUUAUUAGGGAAGAACAAAUGUGUAAGUAACUAUGCACGUCUUGACGGUACCUAAUCAGAAAGCCACGGCUAACUACGUG